rnacentral:rRNA from 1 species
GAUGAACGCUGGCGGCGUGCCUAAUACAUGCAAGUCGAGCGAACAGACGCGGCUCUUGCUCCUUUGACGUUAGCCGCGGAGGGGUGAGUCACACGUGUAUACCCUACCUAUAAUACUGGGAUAAUCUCGGGAAUCCGGAUCUAAUCCCGUAUAACAUCCUGAACCGCAUGGUUCAAUAGUGAAAGUCGGCCGUUCUGUCUCUUAUCGCUGCAUCCGCGCCGCAUUAGGUAGUUGUUAAGGUAACGGCUUACCAAGGCAACGAUGCGUAGCCGACCGGAGAGGGUGAUCGCCCACACGGGAGCGGAGACACGGUCCAGAGUCCUGCGGGAGGCAGCAGUAGGGAAUCGUCCGCAGUGGGCGAGAGCCUGACGGAACGGCGCGGCGUGAGUGGAGAAGGUGUUCGGAGCGUAAAGCUGGGUUAUUAGGGAAAAACAAAUGUGGCAGUAACUAUGGACGUAUUGACGGUACCGAGUCAGAAAGCCACGGCUAACUACGUG